UUUGCUAUUGGGAUGGCGUCUUAUUCGGCCGCUUCUUGCUCGGCGGCGGCAGGUGCCUCCGGCAUGGCGAAGC
rnacentral:tRNA from 1 species